CCAGACAGUCACAAUUGAACCGUUAGUCAUUUAUCCUAACGAGCAUCACCGAAGCUGGGCAUGGUGCUGAACUCCGAUCUCUCUGAGUGAGCAGGAUAAUAAGCUCCUCUAUAGGCCUCGGAACCCUCCGAAGCAGGAAGGAAAUGGAGCACCGGAGAGCAAACUAGUCCAUCCGUAAAACUUAAACGCCUAGUGACUAUAAUAGAAAGGGAAAGUGACAGCAUUCUCUCUCUCUCUCUCUCUCUCUCUCUCUCUCUCUCUCUCUCUCUCUCUCUAAAAAAAAAAAAAAAACCCACAAUAAUUGGUGUGUUUUCUGACAGCUGGCUUCCAGAGCUGAGGAUUUACCGUGCAUGUGCUGGUGACAGAAUGAAAAUGUUAUUCGGUUCAGUGAUGCUGGAAUUGUGUGGGAAUCGUUCUGAGGAGUUCUGAAUGGACCGUGUUCAGAGUUACAUUCGCAUUCGACACUGGGAAAGAAUUCAGAAGCAUCCAAGGGUUUGUUUUUUUUCCCCCCUCCUACAAGACAAGGGUCGCGGGGAAACCUGGAGUCUAUCCCAGGGAACGUCGGGCACAG
ensembl:lncRNA